rnacentral:rRNA from 1 species
GACGAACGCUGGCGGCGUGCUUAACACAUGCAAGUCGAACGGAAAGGCCCUGCUUUUGUGGGGUGCUCGAGUGGCGAACGGGUGAGUAACACGUGAGUAACCUGCCCUUGACUUUGGGAUAACUUCAGGAAACUGGGGCUAAUACCGGAUAGGAGCUCCUGCUGCAUGGUGGAGGUUGGAAAGUUUCGGCGGUUGGGGAUGGACUCGCGGCUUAUCAGCUUGUUGGUGGGGUAGUGGCUUACCAAGGCUUUGACGGGUAGCCGGCCUGGGAGGGUGACCGGCCACAUUGGGACUGAGAUACGGCCCAGACUCCUACGGGAGGCAGCAGUGGGGAAUAUUGCACAAUGGGCGGAAGCCUGAUGCAGCAACGCCGCGUGCGGGAUGACGGCCUUCGGGUUGUAAACCGCUUUCGCCUGUGACGAAGCGUGAGUGACGGUAAUGGGUAAAGAAGCACCGGCUAACUACGUG